AUUUUCGCCCACUUUUACUAUGAUUUCUUAAGGUGUUUAAUAAGGUUUAGAUGCAUUUCUAAUGCAAAUAAGCCAAUAAUCAAGUUUUAGCAAGAACAAAGAGAUUUUACAGGUUUUAAGCAAAAAGGGAGUAAAAAGGACUUGCAGGACAGUUUCGGACCGUCAGAAGUUUGGCAUCCAUUGGAGACCUUACCGUGAACCAAAUUGGGAGAUAUUGGUGUCAUUGGAAAGCUUGAAGAAUCAAGAUUUGCCUCGAAGUGGAAUCAGCCAAUUUGUAGUUUCCUUUUAGAAGUUAUGAUCGUUUAAAGACCGACCUGUCUUGCCGCACGGCCAAGCCGUGAGUGUGCGGGCGUCGACCUUGUCCACCGCAGACUGGGAGCCCGUGUGUGCGGCCAAGAAACUUAUUUUAGCCGCCUCGAAGCCCUAGAAGUGCAACAAAAAGCCCGAGUCGUUUGGCCCAAGAUUAUAACACGAAUUAGGGUUCGCCCUAACCCUAAUCC
rnacentral:lncRNA from 1 species